GUGAUAUUCUCUCAUGGUCAGCAAAUCUGAAGUGGAAAUGGAGAGGAACAUAUCAGGUCUCUGCAUAUGAAGUCAUUGCUCUCUUUUUGGUCAUUUCAUGGAUUUCAAACCUAGUCUUGAUAGAGCUGCUCUUUUAAAGACAUUCUGCUGAGUCCUUUAUAGACAUCAUCUCAUUUAAUCUUGGCUUCAAUCCUGAAAGAAAAGAAGGAUGAAGAUCUUCUCAUAUCUUUUGUACAUCUGGUCUGCCUUCUUGCUGUGGAAAUUCCUGUCUCUGAAGCUCUGUGGGGCACCUUAGUCAUCUCUACAUUCUCCUCAGGGACGACCAUAUGUGCCCACACAUUUGCUCAGAAGAACUGAAGUGGUGUGUAGAUGUAGACUCAGAUGCCUCUGCUCUUCCUGAGAAAUGGUGCCUUUUCUAGGGUCAGAGUGGUAUCAUUAAAGACUAAUGCAGAGGAACUAGGGUCAUAGCUUUUGUCCCUUACUCAGAGAAAGCCCUUCCCAAAGCCUGAAUCAAGGAUUUUUAGUUUCAAAAGUAUGGGGGAAUACAAUGGGGCUUAGUCUAAAUUCAUUUGUGUGAGUGCCUACAUGUUGAUGGCUGGGCGAGUUAGUGCUGGGGCAAGAGCUAGAGAUAAUGAAAUGCUUGGGGAUUCCCAGAGGACUUGAACAUCCUUGUUGGUUGGCUGCAUGAUCUCAAUAGGAACUACCACAAAGGCCAGAGAACACCACAGCCCAUGAGUGGGUUCUCAAAUUUUCAGUUGCAAUUGUUUUUAUGUUCUUUUAUACAGGGGUUGUGAAGGCUCAUUCUAAAUGACACUUGUCCUCAACCAGGCUGCUCUGCCAAGACAUGCUCGGAAGGACAUGGAUCAUUUGGGGCAUGACCAUACCACCUUUCCUAUCCUUAGGGCACUUGAGGCUUUGGUACCAGUUCACAGCUGAGUAAAUACUUCUCAGUGCUGUUUUGCAAGGAGGGGGAAGGGAGUCAGAAAGAGUGUGGGGAGGUGGAGGGAGAGGAAAGAGGCAAGACAUCUGAUAGCUUCACUGCCCAUGUAGCACUUGGCCACAGGAAGUCACAAGAAGAUUGUUAACAUCCUAGGGCCAUGUUCCUGUCAAGCAAUUCCGCAGAAGAAGAGCAGUUUGUGUUCUUAAAUUUUAUCCUCUUUGAUAGCACUGUUGUUUUAUAUUAUAAAUGGAGGGAAAUGAUAAUUAGUUUACUGAAAGAGAAAUUAUUUUACAAAAUGAAUGAGAAACAAUGGCUUCCAAUGACACCUAUGGGGUAAAGUAAUAUUAUCCUUUGCCAACUCAUUAUUCCCCAGAGCAUGUUUAAUGUGUUCAAAUAGGGGCAGAAAGCCAGACUCUUUAGUUUUAUACUUUAUUAUGUCUAUGACCAAAAUCAAGUAACUGUUUCUAUUUGACCAGUGUAUAUGUUCUAGUCAAAGUAUUAAUCAGAUAUAGUAACAAUUUCUUGGCAAUUUUUAGCAUGAACAAAAGAAACUCCCAAAACUAUAUAUAUGAUACAAAGAUUUAAAGAAAUGUGAGCAUUUCUAAUCAGGGUCUGAAAAUUCUUCCUCAGGGAUCAUGUAUGGGAUAUUAUAACAACUGAAUCAGGUCUUUAGACUAACCAUGGUCAUCUCUAGCCAGCAAGAUGGGGCUGAACCAGAGGCCUGGUCUGAUAUGAUAAGAACCAUCUACACUGCAUCAGACCCUUGAGAUGUUGCCCUCUUUUCUGUCCAUGAUGAUGGGACUGUUAAGAGUUGGAGGACCAGGACAAGGCUUGGUUCUGGAGGAGGACACUGUCUUUUUUUUUUUGGUAUCAUUAAUAUACAAUCACACGAGCAACAUUGUGGUUACUAGAUUCCCAUUAUCAAGUCUCCACCACGUACCCCAUUACAGUCGCUGUCCAUCAGUGUAAGAUGUUGUAGAUCACUACUUGUCUUCUCUGUGCUAUACUGCCUUCCCCGUCCCCCCCACUACAUUAUGUCUGCUAAUCGUAAUGACCCUUAUUCCCCUUUGAGGAGGACACUUCUUAAGACAGCUGUGAUGACAUGAAAUAAACAGGCUGCACAUAUCCAGAGUGGGCAGCCAUAUGACAUUGUGGAAGGAAGCCCCAGUGCCAGGGGAAAAAGUCUCUUUCCAGUAGCAACAGGGCUAGCCACUCUGGCAUGGGCACCGUCUCCUGAUAAUUUAUUGAGAAAAUGGGAGGCAACUUUGGACACCAAAAUGUGGAGGAGGAUCUUGGUACCGUAAGCUCCUGAAGGGCACAGCAGCCCAUCAAGGAAGUUACUUUAAGCCUAGCAUUUGCACCACCAUUCCCAUUCUAAUUCAGAGACCAACUAGUCCAGCUCUACCAGGUAUUGUUAUUUCGUAUUCUUGUUUGGAAAUAGAAGGAGAGGGUGUGCCCUCUGAAGUAGAAACUGCAGAGCCAAGUGUAAUUCUCAUCUAGGAAGAAGCAGAUGCUAUCACAAACUCCAGUGACCCACGUCUGUUCUUAAAUGAACAGAAGCGGUUAAACAGGCACAAAAGCAAAGGUGGAGACCGAACUUUGGUCUCUCCUCAUGGCAACUAAAGGUGAGAGGAAACACCCUGCCCUCUCAAUGGGAGUAUGUUUGGAAAACCCCACUCAGCCUUUGAAAAAGAAGCAUUUUAAAUUUUCUUAUGGGUUUUUAUGGCCAGAAUGAGAGUUUUCAUGUUGUUUAGGGGGUAAAAAGUCUGUUCUCCCACAGAGAUACAUCACGACAUAGAGAAAGGAACUUGAUCUGAAUUCUGCAAAGAACUAAUUACAACUUUUCUGGGUCUCCAUUUUCUUAUCUGCAAAAUAAAGAAGUUGUGGUUUGUGAGGGUUGAAAA